rnacentral:misc_RNA from 1 species
ACCGAUGACCAUGACUAUGAUGUGAAGAUGCGCGCCGUGAUGAAAUUCCUUGGCGAAGGCGACAAGGUGAAGGUCACCCUGCGCUUCCGUGGCCGCGAAAUGGCGCACCAGGAUCUGGGGCUCGAACUGCUGAACCGCGUGGCCGCCGAUGUCGGCGAUGUGGGCAAGAUCGAGUCGAUGCCAAAGCUCGAAGGCCGCCAGAUGGUGAUGAUGAUCGCGCCGAAAUAAGGCCUGUUUCCAUGCGGACCAGCAAGGGCCGGGCUUUUGCCCGGCUUUUUGCUGCGGCCUUCUUCUUUGCCCAAAUA